rnacentral:rRNA from 1 species
AGGAAAUAGAUACCCCGGUAGUCCACGCCGUAAACGAUGAUAACUAGCUGUCCGGGUUCAUGGAACUUGGGUGGCGCAGCUAAACGCAUUAAGUUAUCCGCCUGGGGAGUACGGUCGCAAGAUUAAAACUCAAAGGAAUUGACGGGGGCCUGCACAAGCGGUGGAGCAUGUGGUUUAAAUUCGAAGCAACGCGCAGAACCUUACCAGCCUUUGACAUCCUGGUCGCGGAUUAGAGAGAUCUUUUCCUUCAGUUCGGCUGGACCAGUGACAGGUGCUGCAUGGCUGUCGUCAGCUCGUGUCGUGAGAUGUUGGGUUAAGUCCCGCAACGAGCGCAACCCUCGUCCUUAGUUGCCAUCAUUUAGUUGGGCACUCUAAGGAAACUGCCGGUGAUAAGCCGGAGGAAGGUGGGGAUGACGUCAAGUCCUCAUGGCCCUUACAGGCUGGGCUACACACGUGCUACAAUGGCGAUGACAGUGAGCAGCUAGACCGCGAGGUCGUGCUAAUCUCUAAAAGUCGUCUCAGUUC